rnacentral:lncRNA from 1 species
AUUCUGAAAUAAGAAAGGACUAUCAAUAAGAAUAGUAGUUACUAUAUAAUUUUAAUUUUACUAGUUGGUGAAAGUCCAGAAAACUUUAAUGAGCUAGCAACAUGUCUUUUAUUUCUUCACCAGAAUUGUUGGCACCUGGAUGGUAAAUCUUCAAGUUACUAUGAAAGAAGAUCACAAACCAAAAAGUAACAUAGGAAAUACUAAAGACUGGAACAUUUUAUCAGAUUUUACUCGGUUUCAUAUACAGAAAGCUAUAGGAGUGUUUUGCCAGAUUCUAAAUGACAACUUUAAAUCAGAGCCUUGAAAUCUACAGAAGUCCAGUAUAUACUGAGGUAAUUUACUUAUUCUAAUGAGCAGCAGCAAGAGACACAUCUGGUAGACGUAAAAGACCUAAUGAAAAUUAAAAGACACAACAUUUGGAACAACUGGUAGGUAAAUAACAAAGGUAUUUGUAAUAACCUCUUUCUUAUGAGGGAAAUUUUUCUGAGGGAAAAACAAUGAACAUGACAUUGUAUGAAAAGAACUUUGAAAGUUUAGUAAUUUUAGGGAAGUUGGAAAUCAAACAAAAGUUCCAUGGAAGCAGAUGUUUUUUUUUUUCCAUACAACAAUGCAGUACAUAAUUUCUU